rnacentral:rRNA from 1 species
UACGUAGGGUGCAAGCGUUUAAUCGGAAUUACUGGGCGUAAAGCGUGCGCAGGCGGUUUUGUAAGUCUGACGUGAAAUCCCCGGGCUCAACCUGGGAAUUGCGUUGGAGACUGCAAGGCUAGAAUCUGGCAGAGGGGGUAGAAUUCCACGUGUAGCAGUGAAAUGCGUAGAGAUGUGGAGGAACACGAUGGCGAAGGCCAGCCCCUGGGUCAAGAUUGACGCUCA